rnacentral:ribozyme from 1 species
GCCCGCCGUCACAUCGACUUGCACGACAAGAUCACGGAUUCCCUCGUAAAAGAAACGUAUGAAAUCGGCAAGGUCAUUGGCCAUGGAGCGUCAGGAAAAGUGUAUGAAGUGACGCACAAGGUCACAG